GAUGAAUAACGUAGCGAAAUGCGAUAAGUAGUGUGAAUUGCAGAAUUCAGUGAAUCAUCGAAUCUUUGAACGCACAUUGCGCCCCUUGGUAUUCCAUGGGGCAUGCCUGUUCGAGCGUCAUUUGUACCUUCAAGCUUUGCUUGGUGUUGGGUGUUUGUCUCGCCUUUGCGUGUAGACUCGCCUUAAAACAAUUGGCAGCCGGCGUAUUGAUUUCGGAGCGCAGUACAUCUCGCGCUUUGCACUCAUAACGACGACGUCCAAAAGUACAUUUUUACACUCUUGACCUCGGAUCAGGUAGGGAUACCCGCUGAACUUAAGCAUAUCAAUAAGCGGAGGA
rnacentral:misc_RNA from 1 species